rnacentral:lncRNA from 1 species
CUUGUGUUAGUCGCAGUCCUAGAGGCCUUCUUCCUGGGUCUCCCAGCUAGUAGGGAUAGACCCAAGGACCCUUUUCCUCCUACCCAAAUGGUCAUGAAUUUGCUUUGGCAGGUGGAUGGAGACUCAGGAACUUCUCAGACUUCUGUCUCACCUACUGAGCCAGGCCCAGGUUAGGGGCAUUAUGGCUAACCCCCCCACCAGGUGGGUACUUGGUCUAAGGAGGCAUUCUAUGAUGGACAUCUGUGGGGAGCUAAUGUGAUGGGAGAGAUAGGAAGACAACCCUUAACUUUCUUGUAGGCCAGGGUGGGAGAAAACUUUGUUCCCUACCUCAGGAGGGAAAAUUUGCCUCUUUUCCCCAUUGUCACCCAAGGUAGGAACCUGUAAUCAGUCAAAAUAUUCCUGCAACAAAAUGAUUUCCUCUGUGGGAUUAAAAAGACCACAAAUAGCCUCAUAGAUCAGAAUUAACAGCUGUCAACCUGUUCUUUCUGAAUAUCAGGAGAUUAUUACGGUAAUUCAGCUGUGGGAGGCCCAAGGACCACAGCAGUUUUCUAUUGCCACAGUCCCUAAUAAAAUUCCAGAGUUGAGGUUCAAAGCACCACACUCUUGGUUUUUGGAAUUGAAGCCAAGUCUUUGUACACGACAAGCAUGUACCCUACCACUGACACUCCUGUCUUCAAAUAGCGAAUGCGCAUUCUUUGGUUUUUGGAAUUGAAGCCAGGUCUUUGUACUCGGCAAGCAUGUACCCUACCACUGACACCCCUGUCCUCAAAUAGCUAAUGUUAUAGGCCCCUUCUUAGUCUCCUGUUUUGAUUUGGCCAAGAACCCACGCCCAGAAACUAGAAAUUCCCACUCAAAGGUUCUCAAGGUUUGCAAAGACUUCAGUCCCUGGAUCUUGCCUCUUAAAAACCUUGGUGUAGGACUGAGGUUGUGGCUCAGUGAUAGAGCCCUUGCCUAGCACAUGUGGGGCACUGGGUUCCAUCUUAAGCACCACAUAAAGUCUAAAAAUAAUAGGUAUAAAUACCUUUUUUGGGGGGGGUACUGGGAAUUGAACAUAGGAGCACUGUACCGCUGACUACCACUGUUUUAAACACUGCCUUCCUCUAAGAUCUUUUGAAGAUUCAGAAUAAUCACAAUGGCUUUCAAAUUCAAAGCCCUGUCUCCCCACCCUACUUUGAUAGAAAUCAUUGUUUUCAGACCCUACCUUGCACCUUAAUUUCUCCUCUGCUUCCCUUUCAACAUGCACAAAAUGAAAAUACUAGUCCCCAUUUCGCAAAUUAGUUACUGUGUCAGAUGUACAAUGUUUAUAAUAGACUAGAUCUCUGAUAUUGCCCCUAUAUUUUGGUCCACAUUCUGGGAUUAGGUAAUAUGGAAACAUUUUUAUGGAAACAAACAGCUGUUUAUAGAAGUUUUGGUGAAUAGUUAAGGUAUGUAUAAACAUUUGUAACAAGUGUUUUGCCACUCAUUCCUGCUUAUCAAGAUACCUGCCACUGCUGGCCCAGCUACAUUUUUUCCUCAGCUAACACACAGAACCACCAGGGCACAAAAAUCUGAGUCGGGUGUAGUGGCACAUGCUGGGAUAACAACCAGGCUGAGGCAGAAGGAACAUGAGUCCAAAGCCAGCCUCACCAAAAGCAAGGCACUAAGCAACUCAGACCUUGUCUCUAAAUAAAAUACAAAAUAGGGCUGUGGAUGUGGCUCAGUGGUCAAGUGCCCCUGAGUUCUAUAUCUGGCAAAAAAACCCCAUUCCUGCCCCCCCCCCCCAAAAAAAAAAAAGCCCUGAACUACUGUUUUCAAAAAAAAAGUUUUGGUACUGGGGAUUUAGUGCAGGUAUGCCUUUACCACUGAGCUGCCUUUGAAUUUGCGAUACACCUGCCUCAGCCUUCUAAGCCACUGAGAUUAUACGUGUGUGUCACUCCACCCAGCUCCAGUAAAAUAAGUUGUGAAAAACUUCAGGUAAUUAACACCCAAUUUUUUUCUUGCCACCAAAUUUGAAAAUUGCAAAGUAACUCAGUGAGACCCUGUCCCAAUACAAAAAAGGGCUGGGGAUGUGGCUCAGUGGUUAAGUGCCUCUGAGUUUAAUCCCCAGUAAGCCCCUCCCCAAAGUAGGUGUUUUUUAAAUAUUUUUUUAAUUGAACACAAUACCUUUUAUUUAUUUUUAUGGGGAGCUGAGGAUUGAACCCAGUGCCUCACAUGUGCAAGGCGAGUGCUCUACUGCUGAGCCACAACCUUAGCCCCCAAAGUAGCUAUAUUUGAGUCUUACUGAAGAAAUACUAGUGUGUGGUUAUCUUAUGACAGAUUUUUUUUUAAGAGAGGAUUUUUAAAAUAUUUUUAGUUUUUGCUGGAUACAACAUCUUUUAUUUUUAUGUGGUGCUGAGGAUCGAACCCAGCGCCCUGUGCAUGCCAGGUGAGCACGCUACUGCUUGAGCCACAUCCCCAGCCCCCAGAUGGUUCUUAAUAUAUGGUGUAUGCACAAAGUUAAGGCUUCUAUGUUAAACAACUUAGGACAUUCUGAAUAAAUAUUUCUAGUGAGCUGUUGAGGUUUUCUUUUUGUUUGAUGUUGGAAAUUGAACCCAAUGCUAAGCAAGAGAAUACUACCACUGCAAUACACCCUAAAGCCCCCAGUUUUUAAAUACUUUUGUCCUUUUAUUCAUACCGAAGCUGGAAAAUAAGAAUAUGAGUCUGCUACAUUAUGAAGUAUAAGUUUAAGCAGGCAGGUACUACCUUGAGAAACCACAUGGUGAUGAAAGUGGAAUAGCAGAAGGGUUAGUCAAAGGUGUGAUGAAAUCUUUUGAAGUUCAUGGGGUCUGAUUGCCUAGAAUACUUGUCUAUCCCCUGAUGAAAGUAGAAAUUUGUGCCAGGUGUUUCCAGAGGCUGAGGCAGGAGGAUCAAGAAUUCAAAACUAUUCUCAGCAACUCAGUGAGACGCUGUCUCUAUAUGAAAUUAAAAAGGGCUGGGGAUGUGGCUCAGUGGUUAAUUACCUCUGGGUUUAAUUUCUGGUAACAAAAAAAAAAGUAGGAAUUUGCCACUUUAAAGAUCAUGUAGUGUGUGUGUUUUUUUUUUUCUAGUUUGUCUCCUAUGAGGUUUAACUGCUUAAUUGAGAAAUCAUGUUCACCUACUAAUAACCCAACAACUCUCCCUUUUUCCUGGGUAGUAAUAGAGAGAUGGAAACAUUUUAAAAUUGCAACUGUCAAUAUUCACAUUGUAAGAACAGUAAACAUUUCAAACUUAAUGUUCUACAAGUUGGUGUUUUUUUUUUUUUUUUUUUGGAGGGGGUUGUAAUGGGGUUUGAACUGAGGGUCACUCAACCACCAUGCCACAUCUCCAGCUCUAUUGUGUAUUUUAGAGACAGGGUCUCACUGAGUUGCUUAGCACCUUGCUUUUGCCGAGGCUGGCUUUGAACUCUCCAUCCUUCUGCCUCAGCCUCCCAAGCCGCUGGGAUUACAGGCAUGUGCUACUGGGUCUGGCAAGUUGGUUCUUUACUAUUAUUCACAGCAGCUUUUUUUUUUUUGGGGGGGGGUGCAGUAUUGGGGAUGGAAUCCAGGUCCUUGCUCAUGCUAGUCCAGUGUUCUACCACUGAGCUACAUUCCCAACUCUUGUGAGAGAAGAUAUUGCCAAAUUGCCCGGGGCUACCAUCAAACUGAGUCUUCAGAGUACUGGGAUUAGAGUGCCACCAUGCCUAAAGAAGAUUUCAUUUUUAAACUCUUAUGCAUGAAUUUGAUAUGAUUACCAUCAAGCUAAUUACCACAUCCAUCCAUGAGUUUGUGUGUGUCUGAGAAUACUUGUGAUCUGUGCACUUUUUUCUCUUUCUUUUUUUUUUUUUUUUUUGAAUACUUUUAGUUGUAAAUGGCACAAUACUUUUAUUAUACUCAUGUGGUGCUGAGGAUCAAACCCAGUAACUCACACACGUGCUAGGCAAGUGCUCUCCCACUGCACUACAUACCCAGCCAUAUUAUUUUUAUUCCUUAUUUUGAGGCAGGGUCUUCAGAUUACCAAGGCUGGCCUCAAACUAUUGCCUCAGCCUCCCAAGUCUGGAAUUACUUCUUGCACCACUGUACCUGUGUGGUCUUUGUUUUUAUGCCGCUAUCGUAUGUGUUUUGAUUACUAGACCUCUAACUUUGGUCAUUCUCAAGUUCACUUUGCCUAUUUUAGGUUAGUGGAUCCAUUUGAAUUUUUAGGUUGUUUACCAUUUCUGUAAAAAUACCAUUGAUUUUUUUUUUUUUUUUUUUUUUUGGCAGUGUUGCAAAUUGAACCCAGGGCUUCGCACAUGCCCAACAAGUACUCUACCACUGAGCUACAUCCCCAGUCCAUUUCUUUUAUAGUAUUGGAGAUUAAACCCAGGCCUCACAUAUCCUGUGCAAGUGCUCUAUCACUGUAUUACAUCCCCAGCCCUUUCUUAUUUUUGAGACAGGGUCUCACUAAGUUGCUUUAGGGUCUUGCUAAAUUGCUGAGGCUGGCCUUGAACUUGUGACCUCAACCUCCUGAACACUGAGAUUAGAGGCAUGCACCAUAGCUCCUGGCUAAUUUUUUUUUUUUUUUUUUUUGGUCUGGGGAUUGAACUCAGGAGCAGUUAACCACUGAGCAACAUCCCCACCCCGAUUUUGUGUUGACAGGGUCUCACUGAGUUGCUUUAGUGUCUCAUUUUUGCUGAGGCUGGCUUUGAACUUGAGAUCCUUCUGCCUCAGUUUCCCAAGCUGCUGGGACUACAGGUAUGUACCAUCAUGCCAGGCCACCCACCUAUAUUUUGAGACAGUCUUCACUAAUUUCCUGUGGUUGGCCUCAAGUUUAACAUUUGACCUGCCUUAGUCUCCAGAGUUGCUGGGAUUAUAGGCCUGUACCACCAUGCCCAGCUGCCAUUGAGUUUUUUUUUUUGUUUUUUUUUUUUGUAGAUGGACACAAUGCCUUUAUUUAUUUAUUUUUAUGUAGUGCUGAGGAUCGAACCCAGUGCCUCAUGCAUGAGGGGCAAGAGUUCUACCACUGAGCUACAACCCCAGCCCCCAUUUUUUUUUCUUUUUUUAAAGAGAGAGAGAGAGAGAGAGAAUUUUUUUUUUAAUAUUUAUUUUUUAGUUUUCAGUGGACACAACAUCUUUGUAUGUGGUGCUGAGGAUCGAACCCGGGCCGCACGCAUGCCAGGCGAGCGCGCUACCGCUUGAGCCACAUCCCCAGCCCUGCCAUUGAGUUUUUGAUACAGACUGCUUUGGGUGCUUAUGGAUGCUUGAAAAAUAUAAAAUCUUUUUAAUGCAUGGAUGUGGAAUGUCUUUUCAUUUAUUUGUGUCUCCUUUAAUUCAUCAGUAUUAUGUAGUUCUGUGUGCAAGUAUUUCACUCCUUGGUAGAGUUCUUUUAAAUUUUUUUUUCCCUAGUUGUUGAUAGACCCUUAUUUAUUUAUGUGCGGUACUGAGAAUCGAACCCAGUGCCUCAUACAUGCUGGGCUCAGCCCCAGCCCCUGGUAGAGUUCUUUUAAAAUGCUAUUGUAAAGGUGUUAUUUGUUUGUUUUGUUUCAUUUUGGUUUUGGUGUUGGGGUUAGAACUCAGGGCCUUGCACAUGCUGAAUACCCACUUUGCAAUGGAGUUUUACCCCAAACCUGUAAUUAUUUUCUUAAUUUCCAGAUAAUUUGUUGUUAGUGUAUAGGAACA